rnacentral:lncRNA from 1 species
CCGCACUACCGGAAGUACUCGCGCCCGCGGCCGCCAUGGGGUGGGACAAAGAACUACUUCCGGACCAGAGGUUGCUGGGCAACAAGAGUAGCGUCGUAGCUCUCUCUGGCGGCUGAAAUCAGCAAUUGCCUUAAUGAUCCGCGCCCCGCAGACCCUUUCCAAAAAGUAGGCAGAGUAGUAACAAGGAGAAAGAAGCUGGAGUCAGAGAGCCAAAUCGUAAAAGCAAGCUUCAAAACUACAAAGAUGCUUCACAGUUUGCCUAAAAAGCAAGAUAUCAUGGCUAUUCAUGAGGGAUUCCUGCUGGCGAAGACAAUCCUGCCCAUCUGUCACAACGCAAUGCUGAUUUGUUCCCCUUUAAGAAGACAAGCUUGAAACCCGGGAUCUCACUCUGAGGCACUGCUGGGAAAGGGGGCAGGAAAUGGUGUCUCUGUCCUCAGACCACAAGACGUAAGCAUCUAAGUACACACUGUCAACAACAGAAGGAUGCUUUUCUAAGGGACACUGAGACACUCUUUUCCCCAAAGCCUCAAGGGGUCUU